UUCUGGCUCAGGAUGAACGCUAGCUACAGGCUUAACACAUGCAAGUCGAGGGGAAACGAUAUUGAAAGCUUGCUUCUUUAGGCGUCGACCGGCGAAUGGGUGAGUAACGCGUAUCCAACCUGCCCCUGAGUAAGGGAUAGCCCAUCGAAAGAUGGAUUAAUACCUUAUGGUUUCCUUUGAAGGCAUCAGAUUAGGAAUAAAGAUUUAUCGCUGAGGGAUGGGGAUGCGUCUGAUUAGCUUGUUGGCGGGGUAACGGCCCACCAAGGCGACGAUCAGUAGGGGUUCUGAGAGGAAGGUCCCCCACAUUGGUACUGAGACACGGACCAAACUCCUACGGGAGGCAGCAGUGAGGAAUAUUGGUCAAUGGGCGCAAGCCUGAACCAGCCAAGUAGCGUGCAAGGAUGACUGCCCUAUGGGUUGUAAACUGCUUUUAUACGGGGAUAAAGUCAGAGUCGUGACUCUGUUUGCAGGUACCGUAUGAAUAAGGACCGGCUAAUUCCGUGCCAGCCGCAGC
rnacentral:rRNA from 1 species